CCUACGGGAGGCAGCAGUGGGGGAUAUUGCACAAUGGGGGAAACCCUGAUGCAGCGACGCCGCGUGGGUGAAGACGUAUCUCGGUAUGUAAAGCCCUAUCAGCAGGGAAGAAAGAAGACGGUACCUGACUAAGAAGCCCCGGCUAACUAGGUGCCAGCAGCCGCGGUAAUACGUAGGGGGCGAGCUUUAUCCGGAUUCACUGGGUGUAAAGGGAGCGUAGACGGCUGUGGAAGCCAGGAGUGAAAGCCCGGGGCCCAACCCCGGGACUGCUCUUGGAACUGGGCGGCUGGAGUGCGGGAGGGGCAGGCGGAAUUCCUGGUGUAGCGGUGAAAUGCGUAGAUAUCAGGAGGAACACCGGCGGCGAAGGCGGCCUGCUGGACCGCGACUGACGUUGAGGCUCGAAAGCGUGGGGAGCGAACAGGAUUAGAUACCCCAGUAGUC
rnacentral:rRNA from 1 species